rnacentral:rRNA from 1 species
GGUUAAGCGACUAAGCGUACACGGUGGAUGCCCUGGCAGUCAGAGGCGAUGAAGGACGUGCUAAUCUGCGAAAAGCGCCGGCGAGGUGAUAUGAACCUUUGACCCGGCGAUGUCCGAAUGGGGAAACCCAGUGUGUUCCGACACACUAUCGUUAACUGAAUACAUAGGUUAACGAGGCGAACCGGGGGAACUGAAACAUCUAAGUACCCCGAGGAAAAGAAAUCAACCGAGAUUCCCCCAGUAGCGGCGAGCGAACGGGGAG